UCGUCGCUCGCAGGCCUAACACAUGCAAGUCGUGCGAGAAAGGGCUUCGGCCCCAGUAAAGCGGCGCACGGGUGAGUAAC
rnacentral:rRNA from 1 species